rnacentral:rRNA from 1 species
GUGGGGUAAUGGCCUACCAAGGCUUCGACGGGUAGCUGGUCUGAGAGGAUGAUCAGCCACACUGGAACUGAGACACGGUCCAGACUCCUACGGGAGGCAGCAGUGGGGAAUCUUGCACAAUGGGCGAAAGCCUGAUGCAGCGAUGCCGCGUGCGGGAAGAAGGCCUUAGGGUUGUAAACCGCUUUCAGGAGGGAAGAAAAUGACGGUACCUCCAGAAGAAGGUGCGGCCAACUACGUGCCAGCAGCCGCGGUGACACGCAGGCACCAAGCGUUAUCCGGAUUUAUUGGGCGUAAAGAGCUCGUAGGCGGUUUGGUAAGUCGGGUGUGAAAACUCUGGGCUCAACCCAGAGAGGCCACUCGAUACUGCUAUGACUAGAGUACGGUAGGGGAGCGGGGAAUUCCUGGUGUAGCGGUGAAAUGCGCAGAUAUCAGGAGGAACACCAGCGGCGAAGGCGCCGCUCUGGGCCGUAACUGACGCUGAGGAGCGAAAGCAUGGGUAGCAAACAGGAUUAGAUACCCUGGUAGUCCAUGCCGUAAACGUUGGGCACUAGGUGUGGGUCUCAACCAACGAGAUCCGCGCCGUCGCUAACGCAUUAAGUG